rnacentral:rRNA from 1 species
CGGUGUUUAACUGGCGUGAUGUGGGACGUCCUACCGGUGGGCUUAGCCUCGCGAGGGGCGGCCCAACUAAUAUCCCGUCGCGGUGCUCUUUACUGAGUGUCGAGUCGGGCCGGUACGUUUACUUUGAACAAAUUAGAGUGCUUAAAGCAGGCUAUCCUCGCCUGAAUACUGCGUGCAUGGAAUAAUGGAAUAGGACCUCGGUUCUAUUUUGUUGGUUUUCGGAACCCCGAGGUAAUGAUUAAUAGGGACAGAUGGGGGCAUUCGUAUUGCGACGUUAGAGGUGAAAUUCUUGGAUCGUCGCAAGACGGACAGAAGCGAAAGCAUUUGCCAAAAAUGUUUUCAUUAAUCAAGAACGAAAGUUAGAGGUUCGAAGGCGAUCAGAUACCGCCCUAGUUCUAACCAUAAAUGAUGCCAGCUAGCGAUCCGCCGAAGUUCCUCCGAUGACUCGGCGGGCAGCUUCCGGGAAACCAAAGCUUUUGGGUUCCGGGGGAAGUAUGGUUGCAAAGCUGAAACUUAAAGGAAUUGACGGAAGGGCACCACCAGGAGUGGAGCCUGCGGCUUAAUUUGACUCAACACGGGAAACCUCACCAGGCCCAGACACCGGAAGGAUUGACAGAUUGAUAGCUCUUUCUUGAUUCGGUGGGUGGUGGUGCAUGGCCGUUCUUAGUUGGUGGAGCGAUUUGUCUGGUUAAUUCCGAUAACGAACGAGACUCUAGCCUGCUAAAUAGGCGUACCUUAUGGUAUCGCGAAGGCCCCCGGCUUCGGCCGGUGGGUUUUUACUACCAACGUACAAACAAAUCUUCUUAGAGGGACAGGCGG